rnacentral:rRNA from 1 species
AGCAGCCGCGGUAAUUCCAGCUCCAAUAGCGUAUAUUAAAGUUGUUGCAGUUAAAAAGCUCGUAGUUGAAUUUCGGGAUCAAUAUACCGGUCAUGCCUUGGUAUGCACUGGUAUCUUUGAUUUCUCCCUUCUGACGAACUUUGAUGUCAUUAAUUUGGUGUCAUAGGGAAUCAGGACUGUUACUUUGAAAAAUUAGAGUGUUUAAAGCAGGCUCACGCUUGAAUACAUUAGCAUGGAAUAAUGAAAUAGGACGUUUGAUUCUAUUUUGUUGGUUUCUAGGAUCGACGUAAUGAUUAAUAGGGAUAGUUGGGGGCAUUAGUAUUCAAUUGCCAGAGGUGAAAUUCUUGGAUUUAUUGAAGACUAACUACUGCGAAAGCAUUUGCCAAGGAUGUUUUCAUUAAUCAAGAACGAAAGUUAGGGGAUCGAAGACGAUCAGAUACCGUCGUAGUCUUAACCAUAAACUAUGCCGACUAGGGAUCGGAUGAUGUUAAUUUUUAAUGACUCAUUC